GUGAAUCAUCGAAUCUUUGAACGCACAUUGCGCCCCUCGGUAUUCCGGGGGGCAUGCCUGUUCGAGCGUCAUUACACCACUCAAGCCUGGCUUGGUAUUGGGCGCCGCGGUCCGCCGCGCGCCCUAAUGUCUUCGGCUGAUCGAUCUCCCCUCCAGCGUCGUGGUAACAUCCGCUCGGGGUUGGGACCGGUCAACGCCGCGAAACACUUUUUCAUUCAGGUUGACCUCGGAUCAGGUAGGGAUACCCGCUGAACUUAAGCAUAUCAAUAAGCGGAGGA
rnacentral:misc_RNA from 1 species